rnacentral:rRNA from 1 species
CAGUCGCCGCGGGAAUACGUAGGUGGCAAGCGUUGUCCGGAAUUAUUGGGCGUAAAGGGCUCGCAGGCGGUUUCUUAAGUCUGAUGUGAAAGCCCCCGGCUCAACCGGGGAGGGUCAUUGGAAACUGGGAAACUUGAGUGCAGAAGAGGAGAGUGGAAUUCCACGUGUAGCGGUGAAAUGCGUAGAGAUGUGGAGGAACACCAGUGGCGAAGGCGACUCUCUGGUCUGUAGCUGACGCUGAGGAGCGAAAGCGUGGGGAGCGAACAGGAUUAGAUACCCCUGUAGUCCCUGUCUCUUAUAC